rnacentral:rRNA from 1 species
UGAAGAGUUUGAUCAUGGCUCAGAUUGAACGCUGGCGGCAGGCCUAACACAUGCAAGUCGAACGGUAACAGGAAGCAGCUUGCUGCUUUGCUGACGAGUGGCGGACGGGUGAGUAAUGUCUGGGAAACUGCCUGAUGGAGGGGGAUAACUACUGGAAACGGUGGCUAAUACCGCAUAACGUCGCAAGACCAAAGAGGGGGACCUUCGGGCCUCUUGCCAUCAGAUGUGCCCAGAUGGGAUUAGCUUGUUGGUGAGGUAACGGCUCACCAAGGCGACGAUCCCUAGCUGGUCUGAGAGGAUGACCAGCCACACUGGAACUGAGACACGGUCCAGACUCCUACGGGAGGCAGCAGUGGGGAAUAUUGCACAAUGGGCGCAAGCCUGAUGCAGCCAUGCCGCGUGUAUGAAGAAGGCCUUCGGGUUGUAAAGUACUUUCAGCGGGGAGGAAGGUGUUGUGGUUAAUAACCGCAGCAAUUGACGUUACCCGC